rnacentral:tRNA from 1 species
UUUUAAUAGCUUAAGAAGAGCGUGAUAUUGAAGAUAUCGAGGUAGUAAUUUACUUUAAAAUAU